rnacentral:lncRNA from 1 species
GCGCCGCAUCACUCACCUUGGACAGCAAAUUGACACACUUAGUGAUCUUUCUUCUUAAUUUCCUUCCAUAACACCCAACCUUUUUCCUCUGCGAUUGGUUGACAAGCUGAUCUCCAUAUUAUUGUCUACUAAUCGAAAUCACCCAAAACUCCGUCUCUACCCGUUUUUGUCUCCAUCUCUUUCUUUCGUUCUCAAGAUUAAUAAAGGUAUAAAUCACGGGUUGAGUUUAGUGAGAUGUCCGGCGGGGCUCUCCGGUGGAGAUCUUGUUCGCGGUUUUGUCACUUUUGCGUUUCUAAGCUGCCACUCAUUUAAAUUUCAGAUUUAUUUGAGGUCUAUUUCUUCUUUUCUUCUUUUGUUUUGCUUAAUAUCAUGAUUUCAUUAUUUCGCUAAUUUGUCGUUGCUCUGUUUCGUUAAAUAUUUGAACUGAUGCUUCUUUGCUCUGUUUCAAGAUGCCUUGGCAAUAUUUGUUUACUCCAUUUUGUUGCAAAUUAUUGUUUAUAUAUAUAUUUUUUAGUUUAAUCUGUUUGGAUGGGUUUUGAUGGCUAGAAUAAGUUUUUUUUUGAUUCCAUGUUUCCUUGCUUUAUUAAGAGAUAAUUGUUUUAAGCUUCACAAUUAAUAUUUUGAUGGCAACAGACUUAAAUUAACAAAAUUAAGCAGGCUGAUUUUGAACUAAUAAAGGGUGGGUGCAUUAUUUGGUGAGCGUCACACCUCCUUUUUACACACCCGAAGGUAGUAUAAGGGAGUUUUUCCAAUUUAAGUGACAUUAUUCGAAAUGGGAUUAAUUAUUCAUUUUUUGUUCAGAGUCGCCACUUGGGAUGAUUUGUUUUCUGGUGUCCCAAGUCACCGGUUUAUUUUUUUAAUCCCAAAUCGAGGAAGAUUUCGACAUUCCUUUUGAAGUCUGCGAACCAGAAAUUCUAAGUAAGGAAUUCUGUUAACCCGAGGGAAGGUGUUAGGCACCCCCGGAUUCCGUGGUUCUAGCACGGUCGCUUAAACUAUCUAAUUGACCUAUUAUCUGAUUUUAAUACAUGUUUUAGCCUAUGGUACAUUUUAACUUUAUUAAAACACUUUUAAUUAUUUUUAGGAAGAUUCAACAUUAUCUUGGCUCAUAUAUGAAAUGAUCAUGUGUAGUAUAAGUAUUUCUCUUACUGUUUCUUAAAGUUGGCUUCGCAAUGAUGCACUAAUUCCUACAUAAUGCAAUGUAUUAGCAAUAUGAUAUAUCCUAAUAAUGAAUCCGUUUUUUUAGGAUGAUCGUAUACAUGCCUCCAUUGAAAAAUAUAUACGUUUUUUAGGACCAAGAUACAAGAAGUCGGCUUAUAUUGCAUGAACUAAUUUGUUGUCGAACCAGACAACAAAUUAAAAACCUUAAGUGGAGGCAGAAUUAUUCGAUAAUUCUUCUCUUCCAUUAUUACCAUGUUUUAUAAAGUUCACAAUUUCUCCAACUUGUAACAUUAAAUUUAAAAAACAGAUUCAUGUUUCUUUUCUUUUCUAUAGGGACCUAACAUAGGUGCCCGAAAGAGAAUAAUAUACAGCCUGGAACAUUCAAAUCCAGAAAAUCUGAGCGGUCUAAAGUGGAGGGAAAAAUAAAUACAGUAUGUGAAUGAAGUGGAAUGAAAGAGUUAAAAAAAUAAUAAUUAUCUGUGUUGGGCACUCCAUUUCGCAGUGAUGAUUAACUCUGCUUUCCCAAUGUAUUGUCAAACCAUUUUAUGGCUCCAUUCAGUUGUGCAAUUUUCUUUCCUUCUACGGUAUGCUAGAGCUUCAAGCCAUUGCAUUUUCAUAUUCCUGGCUCCCAAACAACAACUGAACGUUUAUACAAAUCCACAAACAAACUUCUUCAGUCUAUAAUUGGUUUCUUCUGCACCAAACAAAGUAACAUAUAACAAGGAUAAAGGUGAACAAUUAUGUUGAAGCAGAGCAAAGUCUCAUUUGCCAUCUUAAUGCCUCCAGAUUUAGUCCUACUGUAGAAAUUCUGAAAAACUGCAGUGAACACAAAGUUUUUGUUGUCCCCUUCUUCUAACGUGAAUCAUGAUGGUGGUCUCAACAGUUUAGCUCUUGAUGGUUUAUACUUUCUGUCCUCCUUUUCAUGUUCUUCACUACCAAGAUAUCCUUAAGCUGCGCGCCACCUGCUAUUUUAGCAAAUAACAACUUAAUGGGGAACUUUUAAGCCCCAAAAAGUUCUUUUCUUCUCUUCUUAUCAAUAGUCGUUGAUUCAAUUCUUCAUCCUUAGACCAAUCCACCUCAUUAAUUCCAGCACUUCCCAAUGGAAACAUUACAAAGAAAAUUUGAUUAACUGGUAGGUGACAUACAUAUGCAUCAUGCUUCAAUAUCAAUAUUUAAGGCCAUUCU